UAUUCUUCUAACCUCUUCUUCUCACGAAAGAAGAAUUCCUUCUUCUCCAUCUCCUUUCACCUUUUUCUCCUUCUCAGUUCUCUUCGUCUUUUCUUAAACUUCUUCUUCUCCUCUCUCUCUUUCGUUGAGAUCGUGCCCUACAAGAAGCUUUUCCUCCUUCAAUCCCUAAUUACAAUUUUCAGAAUUAUCUGGUGGCUUGGAAGAGAGUAGCAACGGCGAGUUUUGGGACCAUAGUAAUUGAGAAGGAUGUCGAAGGAUCUGUAAUGGUGGCGGUGACGCUCGCCUUAUUCACUGUCAUAGCAGCCGUAGUUCACGUGGUUAGGGCGACCGGCCCCGUCACCGCCGUCGUAACUUUUUGUGUUGUUGGAAACCCUAAAUUUUGAUGGGUUUUGUUAGUUUGUAAAUCGGCCCAAAGUGUUAAUUAGGCCCAUUGUUUUAUUGGUUUGUAAAUGUAAAUUAGUUAAUUGAGCCCAUUAUUGUUAUUUUGGUCUAUUUCGGUUCGAA